rnacentral:snRNA from 1 species
AUGCUGCAGCAGCACAUAUACUGAAAUUGGAGCGAUACCGUGAAGAUUUGCACGGCUCCUGUGCAAGGAUGACGAGCAAAUUCAUGCCUGGUCUACAUGGUG